CCUACGGGGGGCAGCAGUGAGGAAUAUUGGUCAAUGGGCGAGAGCCUGAACCAGCCAAGUCGCGUGAAGGAUGAAGGAUCUAUGGUUUGUAAACUUCUUUUAUAUGGGAAUAAAGUGAGGAACGUGUUCCUUUUUGUAUGUACCAUAUGAAUAAGCAUCGGCUAACUCCGUGCCAGCAGCCGCGGUAAUACGGAGGAUCCGAGCGUUAUCCGGAUUUAUUGGGUUUAAAGGGAGCGUAGGCGGGUUGUUAAGUCAGUUGUGAAAGUUUGCGGCUCAACCGUAAAAUUGCAGUUGAUACUGGCAUCCUUGAGUACAGUAGAGGUAGGCGGAAUUCGUGGUGUAGCGGUGAAAUGCUUAGAUAUCACGAAGAACUCCGAUUGCGAAGGCAGCCUGCUGGACUGUAACUGACGCUGAUGCUCGAAAGUGUGGGUAUCAAACAGGAUUAGAUACCCGAGUAGUC
rnacentral:rRNA from 1 species